AUGCCGUGGUAGGGGCAUGCUGCAAUGUAUUCCUGGAAUCCCUCCCAAGCUUCCGGAAUGGCUUCACCAAGCAGCUGCUGAAAUCCAGAGAUUUUCUUUCGGAAGGCAU